CGAGAGCGAGAGAAAGAAAAGUUUGGGUCAUUUUUUGUAAGAAUUAAAAAAAUGGGUCAAUUUUGGUGGCGAUGUUGCCCCAAUUAACAUACAGUGUAAUUUUCUCUAUUUAUAUAACAUGAUGGUAUCAUAAAGGGUGAGAGAAAACUGAAUCAUGAUAUCAUUUCAAUAUAUUUAUAUACCAUUUUAGUAUCAUAACGGGGUAAUUGAAGCAUCUCGGGUAAAUAUUUUUAAUUUUUUAUGGGUACAAAAGUAACGGCGGUAGGGGCAGGACAAUUUUUUUUUUUAAUUUUUUUUGUUUGAAGCAUCUCGGGUAAAUAUUUUAACUUGGGAUUUUGCUUCAGCUUUUCGUCCACUCCGUAUGAAUUCAACCAAGUAAUCGGUUAUUACCUUGUCUCGACUCGCUUUAUUUCACCUUUUUACUCGCCCUGUCCACAAAAUUGGUUAAGGAGGUAAAUUUUGCAUUCCAAGAUUAAUGAUAUAGAAUGGCAUUUCUCAUUUUAUCUAUUAAGUCUUCGAUCAAUCAAUCCCAAACUAGUGAGUGUCCGUUAUAUGAAUCCUCUGUUCAGCCAGAUUUCAAUCGACGUAAAUAAUUUGCUUUUUAAGGCACUUGUAAGUUGUACCUACACUGACAAUCUGACACAAAAGUUUAUGACCAGACAAUACAAGGACUAAGCCUUAUUACCAAAAUGGAUCAUAUCGCGUUAAUUGGUUACAAAGCACUUAUGAGGAAGUAGCUAACAAGUGUUUUGAUUCAAUUUGGAAAUGGAAGUUGAUUUGAGGACUCCCGACCAAAUAUUAUCGCAUCUGAAUCUCUUAACGAGUUAAAAUACUGUUCAGAUAUUAUCAGACAGUGAAGCUUCUUCGCUUUCCUUCCAAUCUUCUAAGUUCUAAGUACUUGCUUUACUGAGCGUUGGUUGAGUUAAUUGGACAUCCGACAGAUUAUGACUCCAGGAUAUUGCAGCAGAGUCAAUGCUUUUACUGUUGGAGGUUUGAUUAUGGAUUUGUUGUCUAGAGGAAACUGAUGUUAGGUGGAUCAGGUUUAGAUCAAAUCAUUAGUCUAAUCGACAUGAGGUGGCUAUAUAUGAAGAUGAACAUGACAAGCCUCCAAUCGAUCUGGGCUUAACAAACCAGCUGAAGUAACAAUCAGCGACCAGUCUUCAGGGGAAAUACGUGAAAAUGUUAAAGCUUAAAACAGAGAGAUAAGUAGUCGUUCCCUGUUAUGGCCACUUUGAGAUAUUCUCUGGGUCUUAGUCAAAUAUGGCCAAGGAACAGAAUGAAUCAUCUCCUUCAUGCGGUUAACACGGGACCAAAAGCUUUGACACGACUUCCUACUUUUGCGAGAAAUACUUUGGACCAACUAAAUCCACGAAGUUCAGCGGGUUUAUCGCGUUUGAUCCAUCAACAGAAAAUGGAAAUUCUUUCAGCAUUUCAGCAGGUUUGGUUUGAUUGAAGACGAUGAAGAAUAUCUCAAUGGAUGAUGUGUCUCUAGAAUUUGAAAAUCCUGUGGAUAUGGAUGGAGGAGACUUUUCUGUUAUUGACGAAGAAACCACCUCGGUCUACUCUAGUGACCUUUAACAUUCCUACCAGAUCAUCCUUGACUUAAUCCGGCCAUGAUGAAAGAAAUGACAAUGGUGAUGUUUCUUGCCGAAAAAUGAAGUAGGUAUGAUGGGAUACUCUUAGAUAGAAGAUGAAAAUUCGGUAAAGAAUCCUCAAGAGCACUUUUGCAGCAUGAAAUGCGGAUAGUUAACCGUCCCCACACCCACACCCCUUAACUAGAAAGACUCAUUUAGUAUUGAUUGAAGACAAACAUGGUAGCUUUAGUUUUAAUUGAAUACAAACAUGGUAAUUUUACUUAGGCACACCUGGGUUCAUUUUGAUGACCCAACAGAAUAAGGAUGUGCUAUUCUAGAGACAGAAAAGGCUAAAGGUUUUGAGCUGGAUUGCAAGCAGCAAACAACUAUAAGUGGAGGCCACUCUCGUGUUCUAUGCAACAUUGUUCACGGAAUAGAUCUAGAGUUGGCUGGCUGCCUAAUGGUAUUCUCAUACAUUCUGGUGUCAGUUGGAGGACAUUGCCAAUAUACAGCAGAACACUCGGAAUAUGGAGGCUUGCAACUUCUGUGCUGGAUUCCAAGUCAGAAAUUGAAAAUUGAGACCUGGAAGCUGGAAGAUUUAUUUUGUUUUAUGGAGAAGUUCCUUUUAGUAAGCUUGUGGUCUUAUGAUUCAAGUGGUGUGAAAUUUCUCUUCAGAUACUCUAAUUGCAGAUUUUUCUUUAAAAUCUCUCUCCCUCCUAAUUGUCUGGAAGUUUUACCAUGUUGAACCAAACUUUUUUUGUAUAGGUCACCUACACAAGCUGGUGGGUGACAUUCUUGCAUCCAUAGAUGCACACAGUGAGGAAGUAUGGCCCCAACUAUUAAGUUUGAUAAUGCUAGUUGCUGGAUGUACAUCCUGAAACAAAUGUUCUUCUGUGAAUCUGAUUUGAGAUAUGGGAUGCCCAUGUUAUUGGAUGAUAGAAAAACUGAAUGUCCUUGUAAGUAAGCUGCAUUUCUAGGUUUAUGUUAUCAAGUUGUAAAUGUACCAUCAGAAGGCAGCAUACUGAUAAAGUGAAGUCUUCCUUCGUAAUUGGAGCAAAGUCUGUUUAGCUGGAUUUGACCUGUAUGGUUGCUCAAUACUGCCGAUAAACAGUUUCCCUGUUACCAGUGGGUUGAACGUAUUCAUUUUCUUGCAUAGGGCAGAAGUGAAUUGAAAACCUUUUUUUUUUUUUUUAAUUGACAAAGCAUUCUUUUACUGGUAGGAGACUCCUGAAAAUAAAAGUAAUCCAUUUGCAGACUUCAUUAUCUGCUUAAACGAACAUUUGGUUGUUAUUAUAGCAGAUUGCCUGUUGAUGCAAGGUAAUUCUCAUUAUCGAAACAUUGGACUAGCUGGUUUACCGCUUGUGUCUUCCCCGUCCAGCAAACCUCUAAAGCCAUAUAACAUUCGUGUCAUGUUCAUGUUCCUAACACUGGAUUCUCUUGAAGUACUCCGCCCGAGCUUAUCUUGACAGAGCUAUUCUGAGGCCCUGUACCCUUUGCAUCAAAAACCAUGAAUAGUUUCCUUUUUGUGAUUUUGCUGUACCAGUCAAGAUAUUUUCUGAAAUCUCAAUCCUUAAAACUUGUAAAGAAACCAAGAAUAAUAAAGACAAUGAUUAGGAUAAAUUGGAACCUUACUUAGUAUAGAAAUUAUGGUAUAGUAAUUACAAAUAAUCUUCCUUGUUGAAGAUAAGUUAGUUCAACAAGUGAGGUGGAAAGUUAUUUAUUCUUAAUAUUGCUAGAUGUAUGCUAAUAUGUGUCUAGUAACUUCUCAUUCUGUAACCUAGUUCAGAAAUAUUUAAUUUCAUUAUGGCAGGAUUGGAAUGGGGACUGGGACUACUAUGGAAUGGAACCGGAUCUUUAUUUUAUGUCAUUGGAUGAUAUAAAUUUGAACGUUCUAUCUCACAUAUGUCAUGGUGAAAGCAUGCCAGUGUCACAUAAAACCUUCUCAUGUUUGAUAGAUUAUAUUGUAUCAGCUUAGAGAACUUUGUCCUUGGUUUACAUUGAGGCAAAGUAUCCCCUGAAUUUUAGGUUUUAACAACAUGGUUCGCGUGGAUCCUGGCAUUUACUGUUACCAGGAGUCCAGAGCUGUAAGUUGUAACUUGUAACUCAUGGAUGUUUGAUUCCCUUUAGGUUGGUUUAUUGUGUCAAGGCUGAAGAGAGAUGCAGUUUGCUAUGUCUGAAGAUAGUGGAAAUCAACAAAUCAAGUUUAGCAAGCUGGUGUGAUACCAUAUUUAAGUCAGCUAAAGCUAAAGCUUCCAUGAUUCCACAUUUAAGGCACCCAUCCCUGAAGAGAUGGAUUAACAGUGACUUCCUCAUCAGUGUGACCACAUUGUGAUUUGUGAAAGUUUCUCUUCGUUUCAAGUGUCGUCUUGGUUGAAACAUGUAUUCUCCCCAAGAUUGUCCAUAAAUGAGGAGAAUUGUUGAGUGGUUAAUCAAAUCGAUUAUGUCUUAACUCUAA